UGGAUUGCAGUCGUCUAAGGGAAGCCAG
rnacentral:piRNA from 1 species